GCGAAGGUGGUGAAAUUGGUAGACACGCUAGUCUCAGAAGCUAGUGUCCGCAAGGACGUGGGGGUUCAAGUCCCCCUCUUCGCACCA
rnacentral:tRNA from 1 species